rnacentral:rRNA from 1 species
UACGGAGGAUGCGAGCGUUAUCCGGAUUUAUUGGGUUUAAAGGGUGCGUAGGCGGGCUUUUAAGUCAGCGGUAAAAAUUCGGGGCUCAACCCCGUCCGGCCGUUGAAACUGGGGGCCUUGAGUGGGCGAGAAGAAGGCGGAAUGCGUGGUGUAGCGGUGAAAUGCAUAGAUAUCACACAGAACCCCGAUUGCGAAGGCAGCCUUCCGGCGCCCUACUGACGCUGAGGCACGAAAGUGCGGGGAUCGAACAGG